rnacentral:pre_miRNA from 1 species
UAACCUCGGGCUUGAUCCAAAGCUCACUGAAGUUAAUGGGAGACUUUCCACUGAGUUCAGUGGGCUUUGGAUCAGGCCCCAUGCUC